GACGAACGCUGGCGGCGUGCUUAACACAUGCAAGUCGAACGAAGAGCGAUGGAAGCUUGCUUCUAUCAAUCUUAGUGGCGAACGGGUGAGUAACGCGUAAUCAACCUGCCCUUCAGAGGGGGACAACAGUUGGAAACGACUGCUAAUACCGCAUACGAUCUAACCUCGGCAUCGAGGAAAGAUGAAAGGUGGCCUCUAUGUAUAAGCUAUCACUGAAGGAGGGGAUUGCGUCUGAUUAGCUAGUUGGAGGGGUAACGGCCCACCAAGGCGAUGAUCAGUAGCCGGUCUGAGAGGAUGAACGGCCACAUUGGGACUGAGACACGGCCCAGACUCCUACGGGAGGCAGCAGUGGGGAAUCUUCCGCAAUGGACGAAAGUCUGACGGAGCAACGCCGCGUGAGUGAUGACGGCCUUCGGGUUGUAAAGCUCUGUUAAUCGGGACGAAAGGCCUUCUUGCGAAUAGUUAGAAGGAUGACGGUACCGGA
rnacentral:rRNA from 1 species